GAUGAACGCUGGCGGCGUGCCUAAUACAUGCAAGUCGAACGAACAGGCGCUGUCCUUGCUCCUCUGACGUUGACGGCGGGCGUAAGAGUAACGCGAGGAUCCCCUAACUUUGGGACAGGGCUAACUUCGUGAAACCAGAGCUAAUACCGUGUUAUAUCUUGAUCCGCAUGGUUCAAUAGUUAAAGACGGUUUUGCUGUCCCUUCUAGAUGGCUCCGCGCCGCAUUAGCUAGUUGGUAACGUAACGGCUUCCCGAGGCAACGAUGCGUGGCCGACCUGCGAGGGGGAACGGCCACACUGGGACUGAGAGACGGUCCAGACUCCUACGGGAGGCAGAAGUAGGGAAUCUUCCGCAAUGGGCGAAAGCCUGACGGAUCAACGCCGCGUGAGUGAUGAAGGUCCGCGGAUCGGAAAACUCUGUUAGUAGUGAAGAACAAAUGUGUAAGUAACUAUGCACGUCGUGACGGUACCUAAUCAGAAAGCCACGGCUAACUACGUG
rnacentral:rRNA from 1 species